CGACGUGAUUGAACGGGUGAGACUCUGAAUUCGUUUCUUUUUUUGUAUGAGUGAUAGCAAGGUGGGUGUCCUUCCAUUGUUCUACUUUUACAACUUUGGAUCUGAUAUUCCUAAGCGUUACGACGAAGCACAGCUUUUCCAAGUUCCUUAUUACUGCAAUAUAAGUAGGAAUAAAAUUUCAAAAUAAACAGAUGGUCGGAGUGAGUCUGCCGGAAUAUUAAGAAUAUGGCGCCAAAUGUUGUCCUUCAGAUCUGGUAGAGAUGAUGGCCUUUGACUGUAGAUAUUGUCCUUCAAAUAACCACACAACCAAAAGUCGCAAGGGGUACUGUCCGGCGAGUGAGGAGGUCAUGCUAUCGGGAAAUGACGGCUGAUAACUCGUACUUCUGUGAAAUGCUGUAUUAACCAUCGCUUUACACGACGAUCAAUAUGAGGUUGUGCACCAUUCUGCAUGAAAAUGAUGUCUUGAAGGCAUCUAAGCUGUAGAAGAGUUGGCAUUAGAAAAUCCCUCAGCAUAUCAUGGUAAUGUUGUCCUGUGACGGAACAGCUUUGGAUUCCAUUCGAAGUUAUCUCUUCAAAGAAAUACUGUCUAGUGAUAAAGGUAUCUGUAAAACUACACCAUACUGUCACUUUUUCAGGAUGCAAGGGCUGUUCCUGAAUAACGUGAGGUUUCCCUCUGCCCAAAUUCGACAAUUGUGGGUGUUAACUUCCCCAUUGAGGCAAAAGUGGUCCUAAUCACGCCACAGAAUGUUCCAUGGACAAAUUGUGUCUUGUCUUCGAGGAAACUGAAAUGCAAAAGUUUUACGGACCCCAUCCUGCAACAAGUGCACAAACUUGAUUUUGUAUGGAUAAGAAUGCAAAAUCUGUCGUACGAUUUUUUGUACAGUUGAAUACGGCAUAUCUAGAACACGGGAAAAAACUGGAAAACUCACACUAUUGUGCGGAGACUAUCUGCUGGCUUCAACGAGAGCGGUCGCAACAUUUUCGAAGCUGGGAGAAGGGAUUUUUUUACCUGGAAGAAAGCAAAGUUGCCCAGUUUUUACAAAUUUCUACAUCAUCUUGCGUAGGGCAUCUGGUGAUAUUCGUUCUCUUCGUAUCUGCUUCAUACGACGAAAAUCCUUUAGAGCUGCAGAAUUUUUGUUGGUUCUGGUAGAACAAUUUUACCAGUUGCGCUUUUUCUUGCAAUUUAGGCAUGAAGAAUAGAGAAGAAACUAUUGUUCGUGCCUACGCUUUUCUUUUUAUCCAAAGAAAAAUGGUAAUAGACAUGAUCUGUAACGCAAAGAACUUUUCACAUUUUCAAUAUAUGCAAAUAAAUGCCAUUUGUGUUACAGCGCCAUCUAUUGGUAAAUUUGUAUACUAAAUGUUUUUAAUAAAUAAGUGUAAAGCGCAUCAUUUGAAUUUAUCUUAUUUAAACCAAUAGAACGCAAUUUAGAGCUCUCUGAAGUGAUUAACUUAUUUCUUGCUAACCCUGUAGGGGCGGACGUGCCAUGUCCGCGCUUUCUGGUAAAUAAUUAUACUUUCCCGGAAUGGAUAGUUAAAUUAAUUUAAAAAUGUAAAUAGUCUUUUCACUGUCUUAGAAAAAUAUGGUCUAAAUGAAGUAAAUAAUACUAUUUUAUGUAAUUAGAGUCAAUAAAUGUUCUGAAUAAUAAAGAAUCUUAUAUCUUUAUACUGAUCCUCGGUUCUAAGAGUGAAAUUUUUAAAAAUAUUCUUGUGACUAAAACUGAGUCAGGUAUAGAAAUUGAGAUUAUGAACCACUGCAUUGACAGUCUCAAAGAAGGUAUAUAAAUCAGCGUUCGGAGUUUCCCGAAGGCUAAUUAGAUUAAAAUUUUGAAAUUGUUAAUUGUCUUUAGAUACUGAUAUUCAAAGUUCAUAACACAGUCAGAUUCGACUGCAUUAUAUUGGAGCCUGAAGAAUAUUUCAUUAAAUAUGAUUCCUUAAGAUGAAAGGACUGUAUAAAAUUUAGGAAAUAUUAUUUAUGUCAUUUAAAUAAUUUUAAAGGGAAACUAAAAUAUAAAUU